CCUCAGCUUGGUUGCCCCAGAAAAACACCAGCAUCUGGUGAGUGGUGUUUAUUCUGAGGUUACUCUUUCUAAAAAUAGUUUUCUGAAAACUCGCCCUGGUCGGCUGGGAAGCACACAGGCGGAGUGGCGAGCCAGUGAAUGGGAGGCUCUCCUGCAGCGGGGGCACCUUAGAGGCUGGUUGUGUGGGCCAAGAAUGCACUCGAAGAGCAGGAACAGAGUUUGCAAGGGGGGCUGCCGGUGUCCACGGGAACCGUGGCAGGCCAGACACACCCAUCCCUGGAGAAGCAGAAGGUCGGCUAGGAGCUAUGAACAUCCUUGCUGAGCCCCAGAAGUGAGGAGCAACAGGGGAGGAAGGAGGCUCCUAUCUUGAAGCUGUUGGGCACCUACGCAAGUGGCACAGGGAGGGGCAGGGUGUUGGCUCCGAGUGAGAGAUUUGCUUAAGCCAGAUGGUGGCCGAUGAAGGAGGCCCAGGCAACCCCUUCUGGUCUUCCAGACAGCACCACAGAUGGCUUCUCCAUCAAGACUUCAAUCUCAAAGGGCAAUACUGUGCGGCAAAAGAAGAGCUGGCUCCUGGAGGACUUCUGGGGCCCCAGGCAUGGAUCAAUGUUUGCAUCAGAAAAGAAAGCCUGUCAGCAAUGGAGGUGCUGGAGGAUUUCUGGAAGGGGGGGGCCUCAUUCAAGACCACCAAGGGACUGCUGACUGUUCUCGUUCAUGACGCCUCUCUUCAAGGAAAUUGACCCUCCCAGAGUGCAAGACGGAGAAAAAGGUUCUUAAGAACUUCCCCUGGAAAUCACCACUGAAUGGAUGCCAGGCAAUUCUAGAAUCUCCACUCUUUGGUUUUUUGGGCCCUUGGAUGGAUGAGAAGUGAUGUGCAGAUCUGAUGGGAAAAAUGGCAGAGACCACAGCUUCUCUCCUAAACCCUCAUUCAUUGCCCAUCGGACAAUUCUCCUGUUUCCGAUCCUGUAAGGUCACAAGGAUUUCUCAUUUCAGGUAGACCAGAAAAGAAGCCACUGAUGGAAUGCUGCAAGAAGGGGUUUACCAUGCGGUGUGAUUUCUGGGACCCCUUCUUCCCUGUUGAAAAUAUUUCACAGGCCCCCAGGACCUCCCCCAAAAGACAAGGGCAGAAACCAAAGAAAAUGCACUGUUCCAAUUUUGUCCAGGCUGCCUGUGGAAUGAGAAACCCAUGAGAAAGUUAUUGAGACUUCAGUUUUCUAUUCCUCUCCUUAUCCGGCCUCAUUACCUCCCCAACCCCUGAGAGAAAAAAUAAAUAAUUCACAAACAAAGGACGAGGGUGUGGUGGAUUGAGAGCAGGUUUGCUUGGUGACAGGAGGACUCUGUAGAGGGGGUCUGUUGGGAGGUGAGCAGGAGGGAGUGGCUGCUCCAGAGCCCACAGUUCUGUCCAGAAAGGUGGAAGUAACACAGGCAUCAUGAAGGCUUCUGGAGGCAGGGGCUGAGCCCUCUCACCGCAAGGACCACAGAAGCCAGGGCUGGACUCCUGGCCCGGGAAGCUCCAGUCCCAUGGACUCUAUCCCACUCCUUUGUCUCUUUCUCCCUCCUGUGCCUGCCCCGCCUGCCCCUUGCUCUGUCUUCAUCCUGGGAAGCCAGCUGCAGCAUGUAGGAGAGAAGGGCUCUGUCACGGCUGUCUCUAGUGUGUUAUUGUUAGUGUUACAUUACAAAUCCCGUUUCCAUGCCAGGGUCCCUCGGGGGUCAUAACCAGGAGAGGCCAUGACCCUGUCAAUAAACAGAACCCCA
rnacentral:lncRNA from 1 species